AUCUACUCUGAGCUCAGUAGCGCUUAUUAAAGUUGUUGCAGUUAAAAAGCUCGUAGUUGAAUUUCGGGAUUGACACAUCGGUCGUGCCYUAAGGGGUAUGAACUGGUGUAGUCAAUUUCUCACCUUCUGGAGAACCGCGAUGCCCUUAAUUGGGUGUCACGGGGAACCAGGACCUUUACUUUGAAAAAAUUAGAGUGUUUAAAGCAGGCAUUUUGCUUGAAUACAUUAGCAUGGAAUAAUAAAAUAGGACGGCAUGAUUCUAUUUUGUUGGUUUCUAGGAUCACCGUAAUGAUUAAUAGGGAUAGUKGGGGGCAUUAGUAUUCAAUUGUCAGAGGUGAAAUUCUUGGAUUUAUUGAAGACUAACUACUGCGAAAGCAUUUGCCAAGGAUGUUUUCAUUAAUCAARAACGAAAGUUAGGGGAUCGAAGACGAUCAGAUACCGUCGUAGUCUUAACCAUAAACUAUGCCGACUAGGAAUCAGACGAUGUUAAUUUUUUAAUGACUCGUUCGGCGCCUUAMCGGRAAAMAA
rnacentral:rRNA from 1 species